UGGGGAAUAUUGGACAAUGGGCGAAAGCCUGAUCCAGCCAUGCCGCGUGUGUGAAGAGGGUCUUCGGAUUGUAAAGCACUUUAAGUUGGGAGGAAGGGCAGUAAGUUAAUACCUUGCUGUUUUGACGUUACCGACAGAAUAAGCACCGGCUAACUCUGUGCCAG
rnacentral:rRNA from 1 species